rnacentral:rRNA from 1 species
AGUGAACGCUGGCGGUAGGCCUAACACAUGCAAGUCGAACGGCAGCACAGUAAGAGCUUGCUCUUACGGGUGGCGAGUGGCGGACGGGUGAGGAAUACAUCGGAAUCUACUUUUUCGUGGGGGAUAACGUAGGGAAACUUACGCUAAUAUCGCAUACGACCUACGGGUGAAAGCAGGGGAUCUUCGGACCUUGCGCGAUUGAAUGAGCCGAUGUCGGAUUAGCUAGUUGGCGGGGUAAAGGCCCACCAAGGCGACGAUCCGUAGCUGGUCUGAGAGGAUGAUCAGCCACACUGGAACUGAGACACGGUCCGGACUCCUACGGGAGGCAGCAGUGGGGAAUAUUGGACAAUGGGCGCAAGCCUGAUCCAGCCAUACCGCGUGGGUGAAGAAGGCCUUCGGGUUGUAAAGCCCUUUUGUUGGGAAAGAAAAGCAGCAGGUUAAUACCCCGCUGUUCUGACGGUACCCAAAGAAUAAGCACCGGCUAACUUCGUG